ensembl:lncRNA
CAUCUUGUAGAAUACUGGUUUGUUCCUGGCCUUAUCCUAGGCUUGAGCAUCUUCAUAGCUGGGAAGAGGAGCACAGAGGAACCUGUCCUGACCAACCCUUCUAGGAAAACAAAACCAAAACCCAAACCUUCCUCUAUUGAUCUCAAAGGCCCCGGAAUAAAAAAAUCCAAAGACUGUCUCGUGUCUUCAGUAGUGCUCUUUUCAGUAAUGAGAAUAAAACAUUCCCAGGAUUAGGGCCAUUUACAUUUCCCAGCAUCUUUCUUCUAUUUCUUCUAGAAAAAUCCUCUUGAAAGGUUUUAUAGUCCAAACUGAGAGGCCUGAGCAUGUCCAAGCUGACUCCCACACAGUGAAGGGGUGCUGUGCAUUCCUUUCCCCCACCUCUUUGCAUGCACAAUGGACAGGGCUGCCCACACUCAUCCCUAUGCAUGUGCAAAGGGAAGCUCAAGACACAAUGUGCAGUGCAUUUCUACACUGCUGAAUUAAUGUAAACAUAAUUUAGAAAAAGAGAAACCUCUGUGUGAUAUGAAAUGGUCUACCCACUACUUCCUUUGCUCUGGUAUUCUCUCUAUGAACAUGUACAUUUUGGGUAAGAACUUGAUUAAAGAGCAAAAUUUGUCUUUCCCUGAAAGGUUUGUAUUUAAAACCUCCUCAAAGAAACAAGGAUGGAAUUAUUUUUCUCCUUUCACUUACAUUUAGAAUCCACAUUUAACCUAAUUUCAUUGCUUCCUGAGACUUCAUGAUUUUUGUUUCUAUUAAUCACUGGACCAGUUCUAGAAAUUGUGGUCUUUGUCCUCACCGGAACCUAGAAUAGGUUGAAUGAAAUUUUUUCAAUAAUGAUGGUUCCUUUCAAUAAAGCAAGUUAUAGAUUUCAUUUAUGCCAUCAGGACAAAGUUAUUUUUUAAUGUGAUUGUUAUUCAAAAAUAACCACAAUACAAGAAUUACUCUAUUAUUGUCAAAUCUACUUUAUCCACCUAUUGUUUUCAAUAGUUCAUAUAAGCUUCUACCUAAAUUUACCAUCUUCUCAGUUCUGCUACUUUAACUAUUUGUCCAGUGCUAGCCUAACCCAAUUUUCUCAAGUGAUCCAAAUUAUUAAAAAAGAGGCAAAAAGGAGAGGAAAAAAAGGAAUGAAAAUCUAAUACCAGGUAACCUAUACACAUACACUUUUUGCAGUCAAUUAAAAAAAAUUGUUUAUUUCACAAAUUUGGAAGAAAAGCACUAGUAGGAAAAUAAAAAUAGCAACCAUAUGAGCCAAAUCUAUCACCAAGAGAAGAACCUCUUCUGCUCAAAUGAGUUUUGGAUCAGUACCUUAUGGAGAUACUUUCUGUAAGCUCAUCUCCAUUCAUGCAUUUGGGCAUUGGUUUGGGUUUGGCCAACAUUCAUGUCUUCCUGCUCCUUUACCAUAUCAACCACAUCGAAGAGGCAAUGUCACCUGCAGAACUUGGCCAUACCUUUAGAGUACGAGCAGAGGUUUUUUCCUCCUUGUUUCUCACUCCCAAAGUCUUUGGCUGGAGCCCUGCUGUGGGGCUGAGCUCUUAGGAAAUAGAGCCAGUAUUUUUUGGCACACACCAUGGUUGCCUGAACUGCAUUUCUGGUCAUGCUGAGGCAAGUGAUGUUCCCCACCAUCCUUGAAAAGAUAUGGCUCUAUAUUUUAAUGAGUAUAUAGAAUGGGCAAUUUUCAGCUCUAAAUGCCACAUCAUGUACAAGUUAACAAGUAGAGAAAAAGUCCUGCUACAGCAGCUAGACUGACUAACUCACAUGCAGCUGCAGCUGUGCUGCUGUGUCAAAUAAACAUCUUGUCAUAUCUGAGAAAGGCUGGGUUAAAAAUGCACUCAGGCCAGUAGGUCUGAGCUGUCUUUUUCUUCAUAUGAGGGAUUUGCAAAUAAUCCUACAGAUCUCUCAGGUGUCUGGACAUGUAGUUUAUGCACUCAUCAGAGAAUGUGCGCUGCUAUUAAUUGCUACAUCCUCUUUGUAAAGCAGCCUGUCAACAGAGGACAUGAUGCAGUCUUUGAUUCCUUCACUUGACACUUAAUGGCACAUUCUGUCAUGCAUUUUUAGGUGAUUAAAAAAAUACAGCAGAUCAAUCCCACUUUACAGUAGAAUUCACCAAUAAACUCUAGGCAUUGAAGAUCUACACACACCUCUUCUUUCUAAAACAACACAUUGUGACCUUCUCUACUUGUUUCUUAUCACUGUGUAAACCCUUGUGUUCAGCUAUAUACAAACAUUAAUUCACUGAAGAUGGAAAAUCCUGACAGCCACAACCAGCUGCAGCUGAGCUAUUCCAAGACACAGCUACCCAUCAAAGCCAUGAAAUCUCUCUAUCUAGAAGGUAAGAACAGGUUAGACAAUCUAUUUCAAUUCUUAGGUAUCCUUAUCAGAGAAAUACUGAUGUUUAUGUGUCUCCCUUUCAUUCUGUUUUGGAAAGUCUUAUUUCCUGUGGAUGCAGAGAAUUAUAUUGUCUCUGCCUGUGAUUAUAUGCAAGAAACUUGGAGUGUUUCUCUUGCAUCUUUUCUGCAAAUUAAACAAACCGACUCCUUUAAAACUUCUUAAAUAUGUAAAAUUCUGCAAACUUCUGGUAGAUGAGAACCACCUCAAGGUAGCCCACAUAGUUCUUGAUAAAGGAUGCCUGAAAAUGGACACGAUACUUUUUCAGUCAAGCUUCAGCAGAGCUAAGUAAAGCAGGCAGGUGACUUUGCAUACAGCCUUGUAUACAGCAGUCCUCUUUAUGCCCCCUGGAUGGUUUUGCUUCCAACACAUGCCACUCUGAACCACAGUUUAAAUGUAAGGCAACAAUGAUCACCACAUCUUCCUCUUCAGACCUUUUGCCAAGCAAACAAUUCAUUCACUAAUUCUAAGGGAUGUGCCCUUGAUAGCUCAUAAACAAACACAGAAUUUUGUACUUGACUUGUAUCUUAUUUCAGACCCAUCUGAGAAAAACAAAUUUUAAUCCAAUUCUUCAGUGUUUGUAGAGCAAUUCCACUCUUACUUUGGCAUUGUCUGCAUAAUGAAUAAACUUAGUCUCUACUUCGCUUUCCAAGUGAUUAAUAAAAAAGCUUAAUUCAUACUGGAUGAUGACAGAAGUGUGGCUCAGUACACAGGACUGACCUCUUGUUCAGUAUAUAAUUCCCAUUACACUUGCACAGACAUUUUACUGUGGUUAUGGAGACACAGCACACUGAACUUCCACAAUUCCUGGGAUUUUCAAGACAAUAUUAACAUAAAAAUCAGGUCUAGUACAUCUCCCAUUCUUGAAAAUUAGCUCUUCUCAAAAAAAAAAAAAAAAAAAAAAAAA